UACGUAGGGUGCAAGCGUUAAUCGGAAUUACUGGGCGUAAAGCGUGCGCAGGCGGUUGUGCAAGACAGAUGUGAAAUCCCCGGGCUCAACCUGGGAACUGCAUUUGUGACUGCACGGCUGGAGUGCGGCAGAGGGGGAUGGAAUUCCGCGUGUAGCAGUGAAAUGCGUAGAUAUCAGGAGGAAUACCGAUGGCGAAGGCAGGUCUCUGGGCUGACACUGACGCUCAUGCACGAAAGGCGUGGGGAGCAAACAGG
rnacentral:rRNA from 1 species